rnacentral:rRNA from 1 species
UUUGGGUUGAUCCCGCCGGAGGCCACUGCUAUCGGGGUUCGAUUAAGCCAUGCGAGUCGAGAGGGUUUAGACCCUCGGCGGACUGCUCAGUAACACGUGGAUAACCUGCCCUAAGGUGGAGGAUAACCCCGGGAAACUGGGGAUAAUACUCCAUAGAUUAGAGAUACUGGAAUGUUCUUUAGUCAAAAGUUCCGGCGCCUUAGGAUGGAUCUGCGGUCGAUUAGGUUGUUGUUGGGGUAACGGCCCAACAAGCCUGUAAUCGAUACGGGUUGUGGGAGCAAUAGCCCGGAGAUGGAAUCUGAGACAAGAUUCCAGGCCCUACGGGGCGCAGCAGGCGCGAAAACUUUACAAUGCAGGAAACUGUGAUAAGGGAACCCCGAGUGCCCGUAUACGCGGGCUGUCCAGGUGUUUAAAAGUCAUCUGAAGAAAGGGCCGGGCAAGACCGGUGCCAGCCGCCGCGGUAAUACCGGCGGCUCGAGUGGUGGCCACUAUUAUUGGGCUUAAAGCGUCCGUAGCUGGACUGAUAAGUCUCUUGGGAAAUCCGCCGGCUCAACCGGCGGGCGUCUAAGGGAUACUGUUGGUCUAGGGACCGGGAGAGGUGAGAGGUACUCCGGGGGUAGGAGUGAAAUCCUGUAAUCCCCGGGGGACCACCGAUGGCGAAAGCAUCUCACCAGAACGGCUCCGACAGUGAGGGACGAAAGCUGGGGGAGCAAACCGGAUUAGAUACCCGGGCAGUCCCAGCCGUAAACUAUGCGCGUUAGGUGUGCUGGUGACCACGUGUCAA